rnacentral:rRNA from 1 species
GGGCGUAAAGGGCUUCGCAGGCGGUUUCUUAAGUCUGAUGUGAAAGCCCCCGGCUCAACCGGGGAGGGUCAUUGGAAACUGGGAAACUUGAGUGCAGAAGAGGAGAGUGGAAUUCCACGUGUAGCGGUGAAAUGCGUAGAGAUGUGGAGGAACACCAGUGGCGAAGGCGACUCUCUGGUCUGUAACUGACGCUGAGGAGCGAAAGCGUGGGGAGCGAACAGGAUUAGAUACCCUGGUAGUCCACGCCGUAAACGAUGAGUGCUAAGUGUUAGGGGGUUUCCGCCCCUUAGUGCUGCAGCUAACGCAUUAAGCACUCCGCCUGGGGAGUACGGUCGCAAGACUGAAACUCAAAGGAAUUGACGGGGGCCCGCACAAGCGGUGGAGCAUGUGGUUUAAUUCGAAGCAACGCGAAGAACCUUACCAGGUCUUGACGUCCUCUGACAACCCUAGAGAUAGGGCUUUCCCUUCGGGGACAGAGUGACAGGUGGUGCAUGGUUGUCGUCAGCUCGUGUCGUGAGAUGUUGGGUUAAGUCCCGCAACGAGCGCAACCCUUGAUCUUAGUUGCCAGCAUUCAGUUGGGCACUCUAAGGUGACUGCCGGUG